rnacentral:rRNA from 1 species
UAGAGUUUGAUCAUGGCUCAGGACGAACGCUGGCGGCGUGCCUAAUACAUGCAAGUUGAGCGCUGAAGGUUGGUACUUGUACCGACUGGAUGAGCAGCGAACGGGUGAGUAACGCGUGGGGAAUCUGCCUUUGAGCGGGGGACAACAUUUGGAAACGAAUGCUAAUACCGCAUAAAAGCUUUAAACACAAGUUUUAAGUUUGAAAGAUGCAAUUGCACCACUCAAAGAUGAUCCCGCGUUGUAUUAGCUAGUUGGUGAGGUAAAGGCUCACCAAGGCGAUGAUACAUAGCCGACCUGAGAGGGUGAUCGGCCACAUUGGGACUGAGACACGGCCCAAACUCCUACGGGAGGCAGCAGUAGGGAAUCUUCGGCAAUGGACGAAAGUCUGACCGAGCAACGCCGCGUGAGUGAAGAAGGUUUUCGGAUCGUAAAACUCUGUUGGUAGAGAAGAACGUUGGUGAGAGUGGAAAGCUCAUCAAGUGACGGUAACUACCCAGAAAGGGACGGCUAACUACGUGCCAGCAGCCGCGGUAAUACGUAGGUCCCGAGCGUUGUCCGGAUUUAUUGGGCGUAAAGCGAGCGCAGGUGGUUUAUUAAGUCUGGUGUAAAAGGCAGUGGCUCAACCAUUGUAUGCAUUGGAAACUGGUAGACUUGAGUGCAGGAGAGGAGAGUGGAAUUCCAUGUGUAGCGGUGAAAUGCGUAGAUAUAUGGAGGAACACCGGUGGCGAAAGCGGCUCUCUGGCCUGUAACUGACACUGAGGCUCGAAAGCGUGGGGAGCAAACAGGAUUAGAUACCCUGGUAGUCCACGCCGUAAACGAUGAGUGCUAGAUGUAGGGAGCUAUAAGUUCUCUGUAUCGCAGCUAACGCAAUA